rnacentral:rRNA from 1 species
ACCCGCUGAACUUAAGCAUAUCAGUAAGCGGAGGAAAAGAAAUCAACAGAGAUUGCCUUAGUAGGGGCGACUGAACAGGCAAAAGCCCAAUAUUAAAAUCGUUGUCCUUCGGAUAACGAGUUGUAAUCUUGAGUGGUAAACAAAUACGAGUCUAUCGCAUAACUUUCUCUGGAACGAGAGGACAAAGAGGGUGAAAUCCCCGUAGUUGGCGAAAUGACCAAGUUGACUGUUACCAUCACAGAGUCGAGCUUCCUGGGAUUGAAGCUCAAAUAGGGAGAUAAACUUCUUCCAAGGCUAAAUACUGAUGAGAAUCCGAUAGCGAACAAGUACUGUGAAGGAAAGAUGAAAAGAGCUUUGAAAAGAGGGUUAAAAGACUUGAAACCGUUGAGAAGGAAGCGUUAGAAGCUGGCUAAUUCGCUAAACAGAGGAUCUCUAAGGUAAGCCGGAGACACUUAACAGGUCGAAGGUUCUAUUUGAGGUUACUUACUUAGCGAAAAGGCAAGAUGAGGUGCCGCACUCCGAAUAGCUGUAAAGCGAAGGAAAGCGACGCCUGAGGGAAGUAAUUGAUCUUGCCAAAACGGCUUUUACCGACCCGUCUUGAAACACGG